UUUUUCCUCGGUUAAAACUGCCAUCUCCUCUCCAGCUCCCCCAGACCUCCCAUCCUCUCAGUCACGAGGCCAGACAAGUAUAAAACUGGCUCCUGCCACAUGGAAGGAAACUUGCUCUCCCCAGGAAGGGUCUGGAAGGGUCAUUUAGAGCCUUAGCUCCAACAACAAGCUGACUUAGCAAAAGGAAGCAAUGCCAACAUUGAAACUAACCACCCAGAAAGAUGAACGAGUAUCAACCAAAAACACGUUAGCAAAAAUUUCAGGAACAGGCAUUAAAAAGGAGAAGAGCCAAAGACUACCAGGAACAGAGUUUCAGUUGGAGAAGAUGAGAAAGUUCUGGAGAAGGAUGGUGGGGAUGGCUGCACAACAGCGUGAAUGUACUUAAUGCCACAGAACUUUACGUGAAAUGGUUAAAAUGGAAAAUUUUAUGUUAUGAAAACAAUUUUUG